rnacentral:misc_RNA from 1 species
GAUGAAGAACGCAGCAAAAUGCGAUAAGUAAUGUGAAUUGCAGAAUUCAGUGAAUCAUCGAAUCUUUGAACGCACAUUGCGCCCCCUGGUAUUCCGGGGGGCAUGCCUGUCCGAGCGUCAUUGCUGCCCUCAAGCACGGCUUGUGUGUUGGGCCUCCGUCCUCCUCCCGGGGGACGGGCCCGAAAGGCAGCGGCGGCACCGCGUCCGGUCCUCGAGCGUAUGGGGCUUCGUCACCCGCUCUUGUAGGCCCGGCCGGCGCUUGCCGACACAUCAAUCUUUUUUCCAGGUUGACCUCGGAUCAGGUAGGGAUACCCGCUGAACUUAAGCAUAUCAAUAAGCGGAUGA